rfam:Gossypium arboreum cultivar AKA8401 contig_6459_9, whole genome shotgun sequence.
AUGCCAUGAUGUAGACAUUUCUAUAAUAACUCCUUCAACUGCUCCUAUGCCUUAGAUAAAGAUUCUUCGUCAAGUUUCUGAAAUGAAGUGAUUUCAUUUCGGAACUU